rnacentral:rRNA from 1 species
CCUACGGGCGGCAGCAGUCGAGAAUCAUUCACCAUGGGGGAAACCCUGAUGGUGCGACGCCGCGUGGGGGAAUGAAGGUCUUCGGAUUGUAAACCCCUGUCAUGUGGGAGCAAAUUAAAAAGAUAGUACCACAAGAGGAAGAGACGGAUAACUCUGUGCCAGCAGCCGCGGUAAUACAGAGGUCUCAAGCGUUGUUCGGAAUCACUGGGCGUAAAGCGUGCGUAGGCUGUUUCGUAAGUCGUGUGUGAAAGGCGCGGGCUCAACCCGCGGACGGCACAUGAUACUGCGAGACUAGAGUAAUGGAGGGGGAACCGGAAGUCUCGGUGUAGCAGUGAAAUGCGGAGAUAUCGGGAGGAACACUCGUGGCGAAGGCGGGUUCCUGGACAUUAACUGACGCUGAGGCACGAAGGCCAGGGGAGCGAAAGGGAUUAGAUACCCGUGUAGUC